AAGGAAAGGAACGGUCUCACCAGAUGCAGCACUCUAAAUCCUCCUCCCAUCUCAACUACUCUAAUCAACCAGCUUAUAAAAGAAAUCCAUGCGAGUUAAAAUCCAAACAAAACGAACUUGAUCCAUAGGCAUAAAAGAGAAAAUGAAACUAGAUCUACUGGAUCCAAUUCUUGAAAAAUCUGGGAUCGAAGAUCGCAAAACGAAAAUGUGAAACUUACUAGCUGUUUGAGAUGUGUGGAAUCAGGCUUGGAAAGAGGAGAUCUAAACCAUGGGGACGGAGAGAUCGAGUGCAGGGAAAGUAAAGGAAUCCCGCUUGC
rnacentral:misc_RNA from 1 species